CAGCCGCCGCGGUAAUACCAGCCCCGCGAGUGGUCGGGACGGUUAUUGGGCCUAAAGCGCCCGUAGCCGGCCCGGCAAGUCCCUCCUUAAAGCCUCGGGCCCAACCCGAGGACGGGGGGGAUACUGCCGGGCUAGGGGGCGGGAGAGGCCGGCGGUACUCCCGGGGUCGGGGCGAAAUCCGUUAAUCCCGGGAGGACCACCAGUGGCGAAGGCGGCCGGCUGGAACGCGCCCGACGGUGAGGGGCGAAAGCCGGGGGAGCGAGCCGGAUUAGAUACCCGGGUAGUCCCGGCGGUAAACGAUGCGGGCUAGCUGUUGGGCGGGCUUAGAGCCCGCCCAGUGGCGCAGGGAAGCCGUUAAGUCCGCCGCCUGGGGAGUACGGCCGCAAGGCUGAAACUUAAAGGAAUUGGCGGG
rnacentral:rRNA from 1 species